rnacentral:rRNA from 1 species
GACGAACGCUGGCGGCGUGCCUAAUACAUGCAAGUUGAGCGAUGAAGAUUGGUGCUUGCACCAAUUUGAAGAGCAGCGAACGGGUGAGUAACGCGUGGGGAAUCUGCCUUUGAGCGGGGGACAACAUUUGGAAACGAAUGCUAAUACCGCAUAACAACUUUAAACAUAAGUUUUAAGUUUGAAAGAUGCAAUUGCAUCACUCAAAGAUGAUCCCGCGUUGUAUUAGCUAGUUGGUGAGGUAAAGGCUCACCAAGGCGGUGAUACAUAGCCGACCUGAGAGGGUGAUCGGCCACAUUGGGACUGAGACACGGCCCAAACCCCUACGGGAGGCAGCAGUAGGGAAUCUUCGGCAAUGGACGAAAGUCUGACCGAGCAACGCCGCGUGAGUGAAGAAGGGUGUCGGAUCGUAAAACUCGGUUGGUAGAGAAGAACGUUGGUGAGAGUGGAAAGCUCAUCAAGUGACGGUAACUACCCAGAAAGGGACGGCUAACUACGUG